UACGUAGGGUGCAAGCGUUGUCCGGAAUUAUUGGGCGUAAAGAGCUCGUAGGCGGUCUGUCACGUCGGCUGUGAAAUCCCGAGGCUCAACCUCGGGUCUGCAGUCGAUACGGGCAAACUAGAGUAUUGCAGGGGAGACUGGAAUUCCUGGUGUAGCGGUGAAAUGCGCAGAUAUCAGGAGGAACACCGGUGGCGAAGGCGGGUCUCUGGGCAAUAACUGACGCUGAGGAGCGAAAGCGUGGGGAGCAAACGGG
rnacentral:rRNA from 1 species